rnacentral:lncRNA from 1 species
UAUAAUCAGCUUUUGCAAAAUAUAAAGCGCACGAGAACAAUAAGUAGAAAAGUUUAUGAGUAUUAGUGUUAACUUGGUUUGGUCUAACCUUAGUUGUUUUGCUGGUGCAUCAGUGUUCAAGUAUGGUCCUCCUAGCAAAAUCUCGAGGCCUCACAGCGUGUACCUGCUGCCAAACCUGUACAGCUUCUUGACAUGCGAUUUUAGGGGCGCAACCCGGUUGGCAGGUCUGAAUCAAGGACGUGGAAAUGGCUUCUCGUACGUGCUAAAUCAGGUCAGACCUAACUACUUUGCCAGCGGAGAGGGCGACGACUGCAAGAAAGGAUUGAUGAAAUUCGUUGCCAUACCUCUGUAUCGUCCUCCAUUCCCCUGAUGUGUUUCGCCAAAGCCACAAUCGAUCUGCAACAUGCUUCUUGCUCAAGUAUUGAUUUUAUGUGCGUAGCAUGAUUACGUGCUACUAUUCAAAAAUAAAAAAAAAUUAUAUUGCAGAUGAAAAUUAAGAUUGGAUACGCUUCAUUAUUUGGUUGUUUCAUGUGAUAUUGUAAUAAACUGGAAAAAGUAACAAAUAAAUGCAAUUUAUUUAGUUGUGGUUUUUCUUCUACGUAAGCCUGUUACAUGCACUUGUUACUCAUAAAUUCGUGGUCAUGGGUUUUCAGUUUUCACUCGUUAUUUUAUUUUACAUAAUUUUUUCUUUUGGAGAAAUGAUUUUGCAUAGUUUGCACACUUGAGAUCCUAUUCUUGGAUGCAUCUUGUAUUCCGGGUAAUACCAGUGUCUCGUUCAGUUGCUCACUGGCUAAAUAAAUGAGAGAUAGGGAGACCAUAAUGUCCAAUGGCGGGGACAAUGAUGUCCAAUUUGGGUUGGGGGCAAAAUAAGUACAAGUUUAGAUGGAACAGACUUAAUAUCUGUCCAGUUGUUUAUAUUAAAAUCUUAUUUGCAAAAUCGAGUUGUAAAAUGAGUUAAACUAUUUAAAAUUCAAACUGAGAUCGGAUUGCUAAAAGCUUAUUUGAGCUUGGUUGCUCAACUAUCAAUGUAUCAAAAUCAAGCACGAAUAAGCCAGUCUCGAGUUUGGCUGAAUAAAAGUUCAUUUAUAUUCAACUUGACGAGUAAAUCAUUCAAAUUUGAAUACAACUUUAAACUCGUUAAAAUAAUAGACUUAUGUUGGUUCAGUUUGUUGCGUGAAUUGGUUCGCUAGUUUUUUGACACCAUUCAGCAUACACUAAUAGCCAAGAUUAUUUGUAAAUCAACGUUUUAUAAGUAUGGAAUAGCUUUAGACUCGAACACCGGAAAGCCGGCAAUUGUAAUUGAUUUCUACUCUCCCAAAUGCUAGCUAUGCAGUUCUUUACCUAAUUUUGUCCAGGAAGUCGAGAACAGGAACUCUGAUUGGCUUAAUAUAUAAUGGCUGUUGCAGAAAAUGAUGAUGGUUACUUGAGGUAGGGGCAGCUGCAAGCGCUCUCUGCUCAGCCUCCCCUUGCUCUUGCGAAGUCAAAAUCUUCUUCUUUUCGAUACCCUUUACGUUGGUUCCAGCCUAUAUCUGGAAAGGGAUUUUAAUCAUUGGAUUUGGCGUUUGUGAUAUGUUAUUGACGAAAUCAAAUGCCGCGAAGCCAAGAUUGUGCACUACAAUGGAGAAUAAAAGGAGGUACCUUGAAUUACCAAAUUAAGUCGUCCGGAAAACAAGAAGUAACAGAAAGAAGAAAAUAUACAUUCAACAUUGAAAUAUCCUAAACAUAAAGUUGCUAAGUUCAACUGAUUAUGAUUACCAAGAAAAUCUCUACCUAAUUGCCUAUCAUCUUAAAUUUAAAAAAUUCUAGGAAGUAAUAUAUUUGGAUUAAGCAUGUAGAACACUUCAAUGAAUUGAUUUUUCCAAAAAAAAAAUGCAAUUUAUUAAUUACCUAGCACAAUCUAAGAUAGGGUUGUUGGGGUGGAGGAGAUUAAUUUUGGCAAUGUUUCGAAAACUCAACUAGACCGGCCGGUUCCCGACCGGCCAUGACACUGGUUUGGUUUUAUAUUAAAGUUGACCUUGUCAAAAAAUUGGUCAAGAACCGGUAAAUCCGAGCUUCAGUUUUUCGAUUUUUUCCUCAAUAUUUUUUUAAGUUUUGCAAAAUGUGGCUACCAAGGAUCAAAUUCAGGACCUCUGUGAUACGAAGCCAGCAUAGUAGCCAUUGCACUAUCACAUCCGAUUACUAUCUUUUGAUAACACAUUUAUAUAAGAUAAACGUCUAUCUUUCUUUCCUCCAUUUUCUCUACAAAAUCUCAUUCUCUCAUGACUCUUUUUUUAUAAUCUUCAACUCUCUCUCUCUCUCUCUCUCCUCUUUUCUUUAGUCACCUUCUUUUUAAUCAAAUCUCUUUAGUUUUAAUUUAUUGAUAUUUUCUUCUCUCUUUUAAUUUUAUUUUCGUCUAUUAAAUUGAAAAAAAUUAAAAAACAAUUUUUUUUCUAUAACCCUAAAGAUUAAUUAUUAAAUGCCACCAUCACUCACUUUCAUCUCAUUUUUUGCUUCUUAUCAAGUUUGCAUCUCUAUUUUCGAUUCUCCUGACUUUCUUCAAACUCCAAACUUUAUUUUUUUUUAAGUUGCAAUCUCUAAAUCCCAAAAACGUGAAUUAAAAUUUAAACUCACAAUGUCUAAUUCCCAUAGACAUGAAUUUUGUAUAAUUUCAAAAUAUAGUGAUAUUUUUGGGUUGGAUCUAAGAUUAUUUUUUGGUAGAUAUAAUUGAAAUUGAGAUGAACUUUAUUUGUUUCAACUUAUAAUUUAAAAAAUUUAUUUUUGAAAAUCCAAGUUCGUCGAAAAUAUUAAACUUUUCAUCAUAUAAAGUUUUAAAUUAGUACAUUGCAUGUCUUAUUUUGUGCAUAUAUAUAUAUAUUAUUUUUAAAAAAAUUCAUUGAACCAGGGUUGAAUCGGUCCAAACGGUUGAAUCUUGACUCGAACACCUCAUCGAUUCAAUUAACUAUCCGAGUUUUAAAACAUUGAAUUUUGGGUGGCAAUGGCUUACUAGAGGAGAUGGGGAUUCCAAUUGAGCUGGAUGGUUUUGUUUGUUUUAACUCACCAGUAUUGAUUUAAAUAGAGCAAAUUACCUGAACACCUACUAAACUUUUCAAAGAGUAGAGUUUUAACCAUUCAACUUUUAUGUGUAUAUGCUUACCCACUAAAUAAUCAAAAGUAUAAAUUUUGGAUCAUUCUAUCUAUUUCCACAGUUAAGUUUGUCAUAUCUAAGGAUUGCACGAUAGUUUAGUGAAUAAAUAAAUAAAUAUAUAUUUGUACGAUAGUUUAGUGGGUAAGUACAUACUCGCGCAAUAAUUUAAUAGGUAGAUACAUUUUGUGCUUCCUAAAUUGCCCCUCGACUAUGUCUCAUGAGUUGUGCGAGUCCAUGGUAGAAAUAAACUAAAUGGCCCAAACAUUAUAUUUUUGAUAGUUUAGCGGGUAAAUGCAUACUUUUAAAAAUUGAAUGACCAAAACUCUAUUAUUCGAAAAGUUUAGUGGGUAGCCAAGUAAUUUGCUCAUUUAAGUAAAAUACGUGUCCCAAACUAAAAUGGGUAAUUUAUGUCAAAAUGGGAUUACAAAAUGGGUUUUGGGCUAAUUAAGAGGCCAAGGUUCCUUGAUCGCAAAGUCUGCUUGGUUGAGAACAUUGAAAGAUUCUUCUUCUUCUUUUUUUUUUUGGGAAAUAUUCAAAAGUCUUAAGUAGAAAAAAAAUACAUCCUAGAUAGGCUACUUCUUCUUCUUCAAAUAGGCAAAAUAUUCUUAUUUGAGAAGUUGGCGGUAAUUUCUUGAGAUAAAAUUUCACAACAUGUCCAAACCAAACGUAUAGGAUUCACCAAACAUGAGUCCUGCAUCAACAAUUAAAAGACCAAUAUUUAUUCAAAAUCUUCUUCAACCAAUUCUUUUUCACUUCUUAAUUCAAGAAAUAAAAAGAAACUUGAAAAUGGAAACUCAUACCCAUUUUCUUUUUCAUAACAGUAGUCAACUUGAUCAACUUCAAUGAUCAUUAAUAAUCAUGUCCUUUAAGAGUGGUAAUUCUAUUUUCCUGCCAUCAUGUCUUUGUUGCAUUAAUUUUUGCAAGCAAGAGAGAUGCGCAUAGCCCAUCAUCAAAGGUCUUAUUUUCUCACAGAGAAAUUGAUUUAGCGGCUUGCUGUCACAUUUUCCUUCGUCUAUGCCUUUAUCCUUCCUUUUCAAGAUGGAAGAAAAUUGGAGGCAAGCAAACGAAAUCGUCAAUAUAGGUUUACAGAAACCCAUUUUGACUUGUUUGUUAUAAAGUUUUCUGCAUGCACAUCCUUUCUCGAUUGUCAGACCAAUGAGAAAGAAAAUGUCUUCGAUGGAGCGUCUUAAAACUUCGUUGACAUUCCCGUGCCUGUCAACACAAGUGCAGUUGCUUUUACUGACUUCCGGAGCUCCUCAUAAAGUCAUAAUUGAAUAGCCAUUUUUAUAUAAUUUUUUUUUUACAUCAUAAACACAUUUUUAAUAUUUUUUCUUAUUUUUUUCUAAUCAUCUUUUUAUACCCCAUCCCAAAAACGUAAUAUAUCAUCAUUCCAAAAAAAUAUUUCUUCCAAACAGACAUAUAUAUAUAUGUGUUUGGACAGCCAAUUAUUUGGCCAAAUAUAUUUGCUGACAUCACCAUUACAAUUUCCAAUACACCUUUUUAUCUUCCCAAUUACUUUUUUAUCUCACAUACAUCACAUCACAAAAAGUGCUACAGUAAAAAUAUCUCAAAUAACUUACAAUCCAAACACACUAUUUUAGGGAUGGCAACGGGGGCAGGCAUCCGCGAGGGGGUCAUUGGGGCGGGGGGGAAUUUUUCCCCCCGUUUAGAAAUGGGGCGGGGGGUGGGGGUAUACUCCCCCGCCCCGCCACCCGUUUGAAAUAUAUAUAUACACAUAAUUAUAUAUAUAAUGAUAUUAUCAAUUAUACUACUAAUUAUACAUGUCUAUUAAUAAAAAUUAUUAAUUAUUUAUACUAAAUUUAUUAAUAAUACAUUUAUGUUAAAUUCCUAACUACACUUAAUACAAUAACACUUUUUUCUAAAAAAAACACAAUAAUAAUUUAGUGAUUAUAUUUGUAUCAAAAGUGAAAACUUUAUUAUUUUAGUUAUAUUUGUUUUAUCAUAUUAGAUUGUAUUCAAAUAACCUUUGUUUAACUAUUUUUAUGAGUUUCAAUUGUGAAAUUACAAUGAAUAAUAAUUUGGUGAUGUGUUGAUAUUUUAGUACUUGAUUACUUGCUCAAAUUUAAUUAUAAUGAAAUUAUAUAAUAAAUUUUUUUUAAUCCCACGGGGGAAGCGAGGCGGGGCGGGGGAAGUCGGGGGCGUGGGGAAUUAAAAUGCAACGGGGCGGUGGUUGGGGGAGGUAUCCCCUGCCCCAUUGCCAUCCCUAAUAAUAUUCUUCAUCUUUGAGAAAAACUAAAUCAUGCACCCUGGCCCUUAAAUUUUCCUUGCCAACCAACAACAUUACAUUUAUGCCCACCCUUCCGGCCGUCACAAUUCUUGUAACUAUGCAACCUAAUUUGCUAGAAUUUCAACCUUGAAGCCUCCUCAGGGCAUUAAUGAGAUUUAGACGAAUUAAAGUAGACCAUAUUGCUGUCAAAGGCAUGAAAAUCUAGAAAUUCUGUUGUGCAAUUCUCUCAACGUUACGUAAGAAAACCGGCAAAAUGAUGAUCUUACACAUUCUAUCCUCCGGUCAACAGCUGGGUUUUUUUUUUUUUUUUUAAUCUUGAGAAACAGUCAACAAGAGUUGGAUCAGAUUACCAGGAACAUCUAUAUAAACCGAACUAAAGCAUCCCAAAUUCAUAUCAUCCAUCUGCCUAUACAUCUUAUCACUUCUAGCUUCAUUUGAUUCGAUUACAAACAAUAGAGAUGGCCGUCAGCUUUGGCAAAGGAUUGCUUGUCCUCCUCCUAACCUUAGUAGCCACCUUGGCAAUUAGCCAAGCUGAAACAGUUGUUGUUGGAGGGUCUCAGGGAUGGCGCUACGGCUACAAUUACAAUAAUUGGGCAAAGAAUCACGGUGCCUUUUUCCUCGGCGACACACUAGGUUAGCCUUGUAUUUAUUGUCCGAAAUUUUUAUAGCUACAAAGGCUAGACUGGCGUCUCAGUUGAAUUAGAAAAUCUGAUUCGAUUCAAUUUUGAUAUAUACUUGUUUUUUCAUUCUAGCAUAGGCAAGAUAAAUUGGAUAUACUUUUGAUUGGACAUUCCAAAUCUACUAACAAACUGGUUAAUAUUAUUAAUCUGCUGGAAACCUUUUCUAAGGCUUGUUCUCGGUUGAUUAUCUUACUUUGAUUAUAUAUUCUAAUUUUUAAUAAUCAAUUUUUAAUGCUUUUGUUUGCUUUUACAUCUAAACUUUAGAUUUUUUUAAUGGCUAAAAAAGUUAAAACACAGAAUCUACCAAAGAGUAGCUUUAACUAAUUUUGAUUAUUAGAAAAAUUUAUGAGUAUUAGUGUUGGUUUGGUCUAACCUUAGUUGUUUUGCUGGUGAAUCAGUGUUCAAGUAUGGUCCUCCUAGCAAAAUCUCGAGGCCUCACAGCGUGUACCUGCUGCCAAACCUGUACAGCUUCUUGACAUGCGAUUUUAGGGGCGCAACCCGGUUGGCAGGUCUGAAUCAAGGACGUGGAAAUGGCUUCUCCUACGUGCUAAAUCAGGUCAGACCUAACUACUUUGCUAGCGGAGAGGGCGACGACUGCGAGAAAGGAUUGAUGAAAUUCGUUGCCAUAC